UCAUCUUUGCCCUCGACUCUCUCGCGUUCUCCUCUCUCAAACUGCUUCUCUUCUCACUUGGUUGAUCUCUAUCUCUGUCUCGUGGCUUUACUCACCAAUGAAGGUUUCUCAAAAAGAUCAAAAUCACUUUGAUAUAGUGGAACUAGAAGAUUAGGAUCAAAUCCCUAAUUCCAUAAAAUAUGCGAAAUCUCUUAAUUGCCAUGAUUGUUUUGUUUUCCCAAAUUCUUUCUUUGUUUUUUCGGAAGCAACACAGAAAUUGAAGAUGGUAGACAUUGAGAGUUCAUGUAUUAUCUACACUUUAUAGGUUUGAACCGAUUUGCUCUCUUCUUGUUUGUUUUUCCAGAUGGCUAGUCAUGUUUAUUAUAUUUGGAAUUUUUAGGACUGGAGUCAAAUAUGUUGAUCAUGUAGCAAUUAAACUUUGCAAGCUCAAUUUGGCUGUAUACAGUAUGUUAGAGCUUUAGUUUGUUUUUGCCAAGUACAACUAUAAUUUUAGUCCUUAUUUUUUAGAAGAGUAAAUUUCAUCUUAAAUUGGGUUUGACUUCUAAAUGGGAAUAUAUAUAUAUAUAUAUAUAUAUAUUGCAAGGCCAGGGCUGCUCCCUUCAAGGGAAUAUAUAUGGUUCAGUUGGAGAAGUCAUGCUUCAAUGUAAUAUUAUGCUUCAGGCUAUAUUUGGUGCGACGUGCUUUUAUGUUGGUCAAUGAAAUGAAUUUCUUUGGGUAAUGAUUGUUUAUUAAGAACCUAGUUUAAUCUUUUGGAUCUUAUUUGAUACAAAUAGGUUUUUUUUUUUGGCUUGGACUUGUUGUCCAUAUAUGCUAUUGAAUUCUUGAUAAUUAGGCAGGUGGCAGAACAAUUGAUGAUUAUGCAUGAAGAAUACUUGCAUAGAAAUCAAUAGGUCUCAGCUGUAAGUUAAAAGAUUUUUUCUCAAAGCAGAGAGGUAACCAUAGUUAUAGCCAUCAGAGUAAAAUAUUCUUUACUUCAUGUCUUUGCUAUGCAUCUUCUCAUGUCAUAUGGAGCAACAUUUCAUUCUUUAAGGUUUCUUUUUGUUAAAAAUUAAAGAAGUUUUGAUGCCGUGUUAGAAGAUUCAAGUUACAAUGUAAAAUAAGAGGUUGAGACUGAUUAUGUUUUGAAAGUAUUGAAUUUCUUAUGGAAACAAGGUCGAUUGGGUUACACACAUAUUUGGCUGAUAAGUCCAACUUUUUGAUCUCUUAACGAUUAAUUACAUGUGUUUCUUGAUUAAUUUUCCUAGUUUAGUUGAUGUGUUUUUCAUCAUCCUCUCAUUCUUUUUUUUUUCCCCUCUUUUUGUUGUAUACAAUUUUCAUUAGACGAACACUAGUAUUUAUUGAGGUAGAGAGUUAACAUGCACUAAAGUUUCAUAUUGUUCAACCAAUUUUUGGGUUCAUUUUGAUGAUAGUAGGUUCUAAAAUAAAUUUGCUAUAGGCCACCUUUAGUGCAUAAUUUGGUAUAUCCUAUGUCACUAUGAAAGCUGCUUAUAAUUGGAAGACCAAAGUUAAGUUUUACUUUGUGUUUUUGUUCUUGCAAAUAAACUAGUCAUACUAUUGUUUUUUUUUUUUUUUUUUUUUUUUUUUUUUUUUAAUGAAGAAAAAAGAAAAGGGGGCUAGUUAUAUUUGUCCUCUAUGGCAGGAGAGGUAAGUUUGAUUUUUUAUUCUGCUAUGUUGUUUAUUGUUUGUGUGUGGGCUGCUGUAAUAUCCUGACAAACUAUAUUGUUAAUUAAUGAGGAUUAUGUACUUAUUCAAUCUUUGGAAAUCUGAUUUACUUAUUUUUAUACAUAAUUCCUUGAACUUAUAAGAUUCAGCUUUGAAGAGUGUGAAUAUUAAUUUUCAUGUGCUGAUUGAAGCUAAUUCCUUGUUUUAAGUUUUAAGUUUAACCCUAAAUGACUACACGAAAUUGUAAUUGCAAUGACUGAGUUCUAUGCUGCCUUAUGGCUGCCCAGGGGUAUUUUGGUUACUUAAUUAAGAAUGUUGAUGCAAGUAAGAAAACCAAAGGAUGGCUUGUUAAUACUCUGCCAUUUGGUUAUUUAGAAAAUGUCAUUUUAGAAAAAAUCAUUUACUUUGAAUUUGGUAGACAAGCUGUAAAAACCUAAUGAAUUAUUAAACCCUUGCAAUUGAAUUGAAUGUGUUUCCUUCGUUAUAUGAUUGAAUAUGAAUGUGAAUAUAAUGAUUUUUCUUUGGUUAUGUGAAUCAUGUUUUUUGAUAUAUGUAUCUUGUGUUUGGGGAACCUCUUUGUGGUAGGAUUAGGAUUUCCUUGAUUUUGAGAGCUAGGUUUUGUAGAUGUAUGUAUAAGUUUAUGCUAAGGUAGAAUUAAUAGUAAUAAGCUUUGAUAUUUGGUAUAGGUAUUACCAGCGCCCAAGUCUAAGCUCCUUUGACCUUAGGCUCUUGAUUUAUCUGCUUUCAGGUUUUAUUUUGGAGCAGAGGGAUCCUUAGUUGAGUUUUGGGAGGAACUCGUUUUAGCUUUAAAAGUAUAGCCCUUGUUUUGGAAGUUUGAUGCUUAGCUUUGUAGUAUUGUGUAUUUUAGAAUCCAAUGAAAGUUGUGUACUUUAAUAUAUUAAGAGAUGUAUUAUGUGAAAUUCCGAAAUUGAAUAACUAGUGGAUUAAGUUA